UAAAUCGCUUUGGGUGUGGGCAUUUAAUAGCUUCUACACAGUUACACUUAAUAAACUUAAUAAAAAUCCGGCUUCAGCCCUUCUACACUUGAAUUGGCAAUUAAAGUCGCAUAAAUGUAUUUGUUUUGCUAUUCACUGCUUUGUUGCAGUUAACAUUAUUAUUGCCAGACAUUGGAAGUCUUCUAACCCAUUCCAUAAAUCCCUUUUGAUCGAUCAAAUCAUAUUUCAACUGACAAUGGAAAAAGACAUCAUAAGUAAUAGGAUUGUUUUUUCCAAAAAAAUAGAUUGGUACUCCAACUGGUUUCAAAAACGUUCCAACAUUUAUG